UGAUUACGUCCCUGCCCUUUGUACACACCGCCCGUCGCUACUACCGAUUGGAUGACUUAGUGAGGUCUUAGGACCGAGGUGAAGGUGCCUUAACGGGUGCCUACGCUUUGGAAAUUUGAUCGAACUAAGUUAUCUAGAGGAAGUAAAAGUCGUAACAAGGUUUCCGUAGGUGAACCUGCGGAAGGAUCAUUAACGAGCUACGAGAAAGACGAAUCGAACGAGGGAAACUGGUAAAACGGUGGAUCUCGCUUUCUCGGUUUAAAUCCGAUCUGAGCGAAUCGAUCGUAUAUACGCGGUAAGGCGCUAAAUGCGCGAAGGCCGUUUGUCGAUUCCGGGCUCGAACGUUAUAUAGCAUCAGAUCGGGAAAAUAGUGAGAUGUAAAGCCGUGAGCGUGCGAGUGUCUGGAUAGAAAGAGCCGGCCGCGCGAAUCGCAUUCAGUAUCCGUCGCGGGACAUUAGGACGCGUUGGUUGUAGUGGAGUCAGAUACCUACCCACCGUCCUAAUAUUAAUCCCGCGCGAAUUUCGCGGAUUACUGAUACGCGUAUUCGUGGUCGGUCGGUUUAGUAUAGACACCGAAUGCCUGCCCGUUUCGGUUUUACGAAUAGAUAUUCUCGCUAUAAGCAGACGUCCCUCGGGGAGUCGGUUCCUUACGGUACGGUUAUUAAGGAACUGUUCCCUGUUUCGGGUACCUAUCGAAUUCUAACGCCGCGGUGACCGUCUGGCCGCGUGAACGAGUUACGCGUUAGAUUCGGUAUCCCUAUUUGGUCUUUCUUUGACCGUCUCGCGUUUUACGACCCGAGUAUAUUUUUGCGGGUUCGAUUCGUAUAAAAACGCGAGCGGUUCGAUUCGAAGGAAGCGUAGAAUGAGGGUUAGGUUUAAAGAGUCAUUGGUUCCGCGUUUUUUAAUUACGGAACGGCCGAUUUCUAGCGAACGAACGAGAGUACACCCGGCGAGUGUUAGUACCGGUAGUAAGUAUAUAUCGAACGAAGUUAUGUAUAUACAUAUCGGGAAAAGACUCUGCGCGAAGCGUGUCUAUUCGUUAGAAGCGGCUCGGGACGAAUCGGUUAGAAUCGUCCGGGUGACUGCCCGAUAUAUAUAUAUUUUUAUAUAUUAUUUAAACGUCACUCGAAAAAAGAGGGAACAAAAGUCGAAUCCUUAGCGAUUCCAUUCUAAGCGGUGGAUCACUAGGCUCGCGGGUCGAUGAAGAACGGGGCCAGCCCCGAGAAUAAGUGCGAAUUGCAGACACAAAGAGCAUCGACCAUUCGAACGCACAUUGCGGUACCGGGCCAGCUCGGUACCACGCCUAUCUGAGGGUCGAACGAUCGGUUAAAAGUAUCGUAUUCGACAGAGAAAAGACGCUAGUAAUGUAGGAAACGGUUAAGCCGCGAUCGAUGUGUGCCGUUCGUUUAUUCCGAAUCGAUUGUUUUUAAUUCGGACGUAACGAAUAUAUUCGAACGGCGGCGGUUUAAUCUUACGCGACCGCGUCUAUGAAAGAUUGGACUCGAGACCGUCGUUUCUCACGGUCGUCUCGUCCUAAGGUCCUUUUUUUACAGUCGGGAAAAUGACUGUAAGGACCAGACGAAAAGCGGGGAGAACGUAUAAACGGGAAAGGUUUUUAUACUAGUAUCCUUACUUUUAGCUCGAGUAACGCGCGAAUCGAAAGUAUAUAUGACUGUCCCGACUACGACGUAUAAAUGUAUGUAAUCGCCUUCGCCGUGUGUUCGAAAAAGACGGCUGGAUAAGUGAAACGAAGGCGGUUAUUCGUAGUCGGACGAAUAUAUGACGGCAGUUUUUUUAUAUAUACGGACGCGUGAAAGAGACUCGAAUAUCGACCUCAGAUUAGACGAGAUUACCCGCCGAAUUUAAGCAUAUAAUUAGGCGGAGGAAAAGAAAUUAACAAAGAUUUCCUUAGUAACGGCGAGUGA
rnacentral:misc_RNA from 1 species